UGCCCGACCUGACAAGAGAGGCAAGUGGUAGUUAAGAGAAAGACGUGCAUAUAUAUGAAAUGAACCACUGGGUUUCGUCGGUGUUCGUGAAAGACAGCAAAGCAAGAUGGCUGGACCAAGCAGAAUGUACUUGCUACUAGCCCCGGUAUUACUGGUAGCAGCCGUGAAGGCCAACGCGCAGGGCGGAUUUGGAGCACAAGGAGGUGUUCCUGGGAUUGGCGGCGUCGGUGGACAAGGCGGUCAGGGUGGGGUCCACGGCCCAGGAAACUUGGACGAACAAGGCAGUAUCGGCAGCUCACUUGGUGGACGAGGGGACGAAGAUCAGCGUCGAUUCGGUGGAAGAGAAGGUGGGUUCGGUGGUCAACGUGGCGUCCACAGUUCCAGCAGCUCAUCAGGUGAACCAGGGGCCGAAGGUCAGGUUCGAUUCGGCGGGAAAGAAGGUGGGUUCGGUGGUCAAGGUGGCGUCCACAGUUCCAGCAGCUCAUCAGGUGAACCAGGAGCUGAAGGUCAGGUUCGAUUCGGUGGAAAAGAAGGUGGGUUCGGUGGUCAAGGUGGCGUCCACAGUUCCGGCAACUCAUCAGGUGCAGGGGCCGAAGGUCAGGUUCGAAUCGGUGGAAAUGAAGGUGGGUUCGGUGGACAAGGUGGAAGAGGACAAGGAUGAUUCGGGGGAUAAUGUGGAAAAGGAGGAGGAGGAGGAUUCGAUGGACAAGGUGGAAGAAGACAAGGCGGAUUCGGCGGGGGAGGUGGAAGAGGUUAAGUCAUCCACGCUGGAAAUGACUUUAUGUUGACCAACGAGAAGAAAAUUGUGUACUUGGUAUGAAAGGGAAUAUUUCAUCUGCAUUCAUUAUAGCAAUUCAGUCGCUGUGGUUAUGGUCUAGAUGGGACGGUAGCUCUUAAGUGUGCUGGAAUAUUGACCUGUGCGACAGUGCAGAGGAUGCCCUUGUACGUAGUGUAGUGAAGGUAGAAAGUGACAAGACCUACACUGGAAACGUAGGAGCACCACAUGCCAUUCCGAAAGUGGUAAAUGGAAAAUUCAGAGACCCGGUAUGAAGGUUGAUUGAAAGCAAACGGCUGUUCGUCAAGGAAACAGCUGACUCACAAUGCCCUACGCUUCUUUAUUCCCUCAGCCUUUAAAUACAAUCACGAUGAUGAGGACGGUGCUCAGUAAAAGAACAGUGUCUGUUCGGAAUGUCGACGGUUCCGUCGACGUUCGUCGUAAAGAGGAACUUACCUAGAUGGUGGUUACCAGGCGAAGGAAGUGGUUAUUCAGGAGGGUCUUCAUGAUACUCAAAAAGGGGCGGGAAAGCAACAUACUGGAAAAAAGGAAGUGCCUGCUUAUUUACGUAAUGCUUUCGCGAAAGCUCGCCGGAUGAAUCACAACGGAACGGACCGUUCAAAAACACUCACACGAUCAUUGACAUUGACCAAACGAAAACAUUUGCGGGAAAACCCGGCAGCACUUGUCUUCCUCUUUAACCUACACCUUAUGAACGCUUGAGCGACAGCCAGGCCUUGCAUACAACUUCUCAACCGUGGAACGGAGUUCUCCACUGGUAGCGGUCUUGCAUGGUUAUGACAAAAGAAGAAACUGUCAUAGAGUUCCACGCAUUGCAAAGAACCUUGACGUUCGUUAUAGAUACAGCUGCUACGUAUUUGAUGACGCACCGCAUAUAGGUGUCAAAUUGCCGUGAAAUUAUAAACAACAUUAGGCCAUGCGAUAGACCGUCUGUCCGCUGGGUCAACAGUCAUGGCAAUUCUGGCCUUUCUGAUUACCAGUCGGCUUGCAAGCAUGUCUGCCAAGAAAGUGAAUGGUCGCUGACCUUUAUGUUCCCAAAGGACCUCUACCCGAGAAACGUCAUCAUGACGUUGGUAGACAGACUUAAACCGAAACGAAUCGGGAGGGGAGAGCUGGGUUCCACGAAUGGGCAGUUGUUCGCUGUCCAAUAUUGAAAGAAAAGUAGGGCCGAAGGUCGCGUCCCUUUCAGGGACCAUCGUAAUCACCUCAAGACCGUGGCUUUCGGGCGCGACCUUGUUCGCUCCUAGCUUCCACCGUAAUUGAAGUCUACCAAAUUGGUGGCGCUGUCGAACACUAUGACGUCAUUUGUUUACAAACAGGGAGAGGUCUAUUUCGCAUGCUCGUCGUUGGUGGACUCUCAGAAGAUGGGCGAGGUCAGAAAACACUCCUUUGAGAGCUCGGGAAUCUGGAGCGUUUUUAGUUAGCGGGGUUAGUUAAUAGGAUGCGUCUUGGGCCGACUUCAGGGGGAACUGUGCCGACAUUCGUCUGGCAAGUCUGGUGUAAAACCCAGAGAAAACUUCAGCCGGUGCAGGGAUUCGAACCCGCGGCACCUCCCAGUCGCGGCGAGGAAAGUGAUCAUCCUAACCACUAUGCUACGGGAGCUCGGGUAUCUGGAGCGUUCGAGCACUGGAAUGGCCAAAGGGUUUGUUUGUUCGCUAAGUUCAACUAAUUCUUUCAUUAUAGUCAUAAUGGCGGGUUCAUGGCAAUGCAAUCUGAUGUACCUCUGCUGAGCAUAUUCUUUCAAUAACACAUGACAGUUUAGAAAUGCUGGGCCGAUGUUAUUACAUCAAUAGGGUCUGGAUACUGACACGGCUGAGACACUUCCUAGGGUCAGACAUAUGUACGUAUCACAUAUUUUUACUUCCCCUGAUCUUCGCAUUAUUUCCAUUAAUUUAGUUAAUAUUUGUUUUAGGUGGCAUGAAGCAGACUGUUGUAUACUCAGGUCAAACCACAGUCAUGUGUUUUUCUUUCACUUCGCUUAAUUCCCGUCGUCCACUAGCCGGAGGAUUUCUCAUGCAUACCAGCAAGUGCAUUUUGCACCUGACAUAUAUGGCUUAUCGCUACGCCAUUUGACUAGCGGGCGUAUUUAUCGACGCCAUAUUAGCAGGUCGCGGGUUCGACCAUGGCCGAGGACGCCAAUAGCUUGGUGGCAGCAUUCAAGUUGUUCAGACACGGAGUCUUCCCCGACGGACGUUGAAUACGGUGUGCAGCGUGCUAGGAUUUCGGUGCACGUCUAAAGGACCCUCAGGUAAACCCUCUCUCAAAAUUGCUUGGUCCCUGGCCAAAUCCUGCCCACCAACGCUCUGUCCUCAAAGCUCUUUUAACCUUCUUGGACACCAUAGGACCUCGAUCCUUAUUGUGAAGGGGCUCAUUAUUUCAUUCCCCACAUCACCACCAGCAAUGGGGUAGGGUAUCGCCCCUGGCGAUGAAACUCCCCAUGCAUCAUCUCAAGAUAAAGUUGUUGUUUAUUCAGGUAAUGAUCACAGUUGUUUCGCAACAUAAAGCCACGAACUUUUAUAAUAUUAGCAGGCUUGCUGGUCAAAUACGUAAAACCAGUGUUGGACCACGUCGCAAACGUCGAAAGGGCGUGUCUGUAAAGUGAGUAUAGUGGAUAACGUCAUCCCUGCUCUACCGUGUAGGUUCGCUUCCUCUAGCCUUCACUUCUGCGCACAUACGGAGGAAAUACAAUACACGUGGGAAGUGGAUUUUUCCCGGGUAGCCGCAAUAUUUAAUUCGCAGUUCUGCCACACAAUGACAUCUUAUUUCCUGCCUUGCGUAAGAGGGAUAGCUGAAAGAAAACCCCGCGCGAGAUUCGGCUGGUUCACUCAAAAAGCACAUCUUAUCUGAUCCCCAACCAAAAAAAAGAAAAGAUGAGAACGAGAGAAGGUACAGGAGAAAGGGUUGUUGCACCUGUGCCGUUCAGGAGAAUCUUCCUCGUACACCGGAACUUUUUAUACGGCGGCUUAUAAAAACAGGAGGCCGGUCUUCGCGGGUGGCACAUCGCUCCCGGAGUGAGGACGUGCAAGCCGAGCGGGAAUACGAAAAAUGAAGAACCUGCUUGUUUGUUUCGCUGGCCUGGCCAUCCUGAGCCUUGCCUUCGCUGCUCCGACUGCAGAAGGAGACAAGAAGGAAGCCAAGGAGGAGGCCAAAGCCGAAGGAGACAAGGACGUUGAAGGUCGCAUUGGAUUCGGUGUUGGUCCCUACGGAGGAGGAUUUGGCGGCUACGGCGGCGGCUACGGCGGCGGGUUCAACCAGGGAGGUAGCUUCAACCAAGGAGCAUUCGGCAACCGCUACGGACAAGGAGGCUUCGGAUACAACACUGGCGGAUCCAACCGCAGGGUUUACGGCAACAAGCAGACCUACGGUGACCGCGAGACAUUCGGGCUGAGCCACAACCAAGGUGGAAGCUCCGCAUUCGGACAAGGAAGCUACGGGAACCGUUACAAUACUCAAGCCGGUGGGCUAGGUGGUCAAGGGUACGGGUACCAGCAGGGCUUCUACGGGUAGGCAAGACCAUCCUGUCUCGUCCAUGUCCGUACUCGUGUCCAGGACAUUCCACAAAAAGACUUCCAGAAGAUGCUCCCAACAAACUGUACAUACCGCCAGAUGGUUCAUUAAAAGCUAAUUUAUUGAAAUAA